rfam:Schistosoma margrebowiei strain Zambia genome assembly, scaffold: SMRZ_contig0002462
AUCCAGCCGACGAGUCCCAAAUAGGACAAAACGUGCGUUCUGAAU